AUGAAAGAGAAUUGAUGGAUUUCAUAAAAAGAAAACUGAUUACAAAUAAAAAUGAAGAUUAGAGGCCUAAUACUCCUUCUCUUUUGCAAAUAAAAUAAAGAAAAGAAAACAGGAAGAAAAAAAAAACAAUUUCAUUGUCUCUCUCCCUUUCUCUUCCACAGUGGAACUCUCCAUUUUUUUACUUUUGUUUCCUUCAAGAACAGAGCAUGCUCUGUUCUUCUUGGAUGUGAGCUCCCCUUGGUAUCAGNNN
rnacentral:lncRNA from 1 species